CAGUCACGGGCUGGUGGCUGCUGGUGGGGAGGGAGUUUAGAAGGGUGUUAAUCACAAAGGGAAUACACAAGACAGGGGAAGCUGGUAAUUGAGGGCGCUGGUGAAGAGAAAGCUGGGAGCCCAGUGAUUCAGGCCCACUAGACCUGCUGCCCUCAUGCUGUCCUGGGACCAGGGACAGCAGGCAAUGAGUGAAGGAAGGGCAGGGAGAGAGGAGCCAUGAUGGGCCUGGGGAGAGGCCUGUGGUAGGAGCCUCUGUCUCCCAGCUGUUGGAGGAACUGGCGUUGAGUCCAGGAAUCUGGAGAGACCCACCCACCAGGGAGAGCAUGAUGUGGAGGCGUUCUCCUAACAUGAAGGACAGUGCGAGCCAAUCAGCCAGUCUUGCAGCUGUUUCCAGGGUCACCUUGCUCUUGGCCCUUCUGUCCUGUGUGACCCUCGACAGAACCUCCCAAUGGGUUCACAGAUUUGCUUCUUCAAUGCCCCUACCAACCUCAUUUUCUCUGUGCCUCAGUUUCCUCAUCUGUAUAAUGGCCACAUAAUGGUAUCUCCUUCAUAUGGAGGAUAAAUACCUUUAAAAUGCCCAGAGCAGGGGCUGGAGAGAUGGCUCAGUGGUUAAGAGCACCGAAUACUCUUCCUGAGGUCCUGAGUUCAAAUCCCAGCAACCACAUGUUGGCUCACAACCAUCUGUAAUGAGAUCUAUGCCCUCUUCUGCUGUGUCUGGACAGCUACAGUGUACUCAGAUAUAAUAAAUAAAUAAAGUAUUUUUAAAAAAA